rnacentral:lncRNA from 1 species
CAGUUCAUCCACCGGUUAAGCCUCCAGUGCACCCUCCCGUGAAGCCUCCGGUUCAUCCACCAGUGUACCCUCCCGUGAAGCCUCCAGUUCAUCCACCGGUUAAGCCUCCAGUACACCCACCGGUUAAGCCUCCAGUGCACCCUCCCGUGAAGCCUCCGGUUCAUCCACCAGUGUACCCUCCCGUGAAGCCUCCUCCAGCCUUCACCCUCCACCGGUUAAGCCUCCAGUGCACCCUCCCGUGAAGCCUCCAGUACACCCACCAGUGUACCCUCCCGUGAAGCCUCCAGUUCAUCCACCGGUUAAGCCUCCAGUGCACCCUCCCGUGAAGCCUCCAGUACACCCACCGGUUAAGCCUCCAGUGCACCCUCCCGUGAAGCCUCCGGUUCAUCCACCAGUAUACCCUCCCGUGAAGCCUCCAGUUCAUCCACCGGUUAAGC